rfam:Vigna angularis cultivar Jingnong 6 chromosome 5, whole genome shotgun sequence.
UUGGAUAUGGGGUGAUGUGAUUUGGCCCAUGCUAAUAGCUGGGCUUAGGAAAGUCCCCGGGCCCUGCUCUGCAGAAAUGCAGGCCCUUUAUAGGGUAACUACGAGCUGGACUUGAGUUGGCUCCGCUGGGCCAAGGGGCUGAGACACGUGUGGAGCCUUUGCUUGUCCUGCCGUAGAAUUUGGCCACUUUCACAGUCAUUCACAUGGUCUAUCUUGACUAACAGAACGGGGCUUACUCUCCCAUAAUCCA